rnacentral:rRNA from 1 species
UACGAAGGGGGCUAGCGUUGCUCGGAAUCACUGGGCGUAAAGGGCGCGUAGGCGGCCAUUCAAGUCGGGGGUGAAAGCCCAGGGCUCAACCCUGGAAUUGCCUUCGAUACUGUUUGGCUAGAGACCGGAAGAGGUUAGUGGAACUGCGAGUGUAGAGGUGAAAUUCGUAGAUAUUCGCAAGAACACCAGUGGCGAAGGCGGCUAACGGGUCCGGUUCUGACGCUGAGGCGCGAAAGCGUGGGGAGCAAACAGG